GCCUACGGGAGGCAGCAGUGGGGAAUAUUGGACAAUGGGCGCAAGCCUGAUCCAGCCAUGCCGCGUGAGUGAUGAAGGCCUUAGGGUUGUAAAGCUCUUUCGGCGGGGAAGAUAAUGACGGUACCCGCAGAAGAAGCCCCGGCUAACUUCGUGCCAGCAGCCGCGGUAAUACGAAGGGGGCUAGCGUUGUUCGGAAUCACUGGGCGUAAAGCGCACGUAGGCGGACAUUUAAGUCAGGGGUGAAAUCCCAGGGCUCAACCCUGGAACUGCCCUUGAUACUGGAUGUCUCGAGUCCGGGAGAGGUGAGUGGAACUCCGAGUGUAGAGGUGAAAUUCGUAGAUAUUCGGAAGAACACCAGUGGCGAAGGCGGCUCACUGGCCCGGUACUGACGCUGAGGUGCGAAAGCGUGGGGAGCAAACAGGAUUAGAUACCCUUGUAGUCGUU
rnacentral:rRNA from 1 species